GGAUGUGGCUCAAGUGGUAGUGCGCUCACCUGGCAUGCAUGAGGCCCUGAGUUCAAUCCUCAGCACCA
rnacentral:tRNA from 1 species